rnacentral:rRNA from 1 species
UACGUAGGGUGCAAGCGUUGUCCGGAAUUAUUGGGCGUAAAGAGCUCGUAGGCGGUUCGUCGCGUCGGCUGUGAAAACCCGGAGCUCAACUCCGGGCCUGCAGUCGAUACGGGCGGACUUGAGUUCGGCAGGGGAGACUGGAAUUCCUGGUGUAGCGGUGAAAUGCGCAGAUAUCAGGAGGAACACCGGUGGCGAAGGCGGGUCUCUGGGCCGUUACUGACGCUGAGGAGCGAAAGCGUGGGGAGCGAACAGG